CAAUAGCGUAUAUUAAAGCUGUUGCGGUUAAAAAGCUCGUAGUUGGAUUUCUGUCAAGGACAACUGGUCCGCCCUCCGGGUGAGCACAUAGUUUGGUCUUGGCAUCUUGCUGGAAACUGUUGCUGCACUUGGUUGUGUGGCGCAGCAUCCAGCACUUUCACUUUGAGGAAAUUGGAGUGUUUCAAGCAGGCACAUGCCUUUGGACACAGUAGCAUGGAAUAAUUAGAUUGGGCUUUUGCUCCAAUUUGUCGGUCUCUGGAGCUGAGGUGAGAAUUAAUGGGGAUUGUUGGGGGCAUCCGAAUUUAGCCGUCAGAGGUGAAAUUCUUGGAUCUGCUAAAGACGGACAACUGCGAAAGCGUCUGCCCAGGAUGUUUUCAUUGA
rnacentral:rRNA from 1 species